rnacentral:lncRNA from 13 species
GUAGCCAUUUCAUAUCACCAUUCAGAGAGCAUGUUCAACCAUCAGUUUUUCCCUCCCGCUGCGCCUGUGUGAGUAGUGGGCGGCGCGCAUACCAAAUCCCCCUCUCCAUACCCAGCCAGUGUUGUACAUGAGAGAGUGGAGCAACUCCGUUUCCUCCAAGCAGAGAGCGAAAGACAGGGAGGGAAGAGAGGCAGGAGGACCGGAGCGCCGACAUCGGCGGUAUGAAGCGAGUGUAGCAUCUUAGCGCCCCCACCAGAAAUUCAGAUUGUUUUGCUACAAUUAUUUUUUUUGCGUUUAAAAUUCAGUUUGCCGCUGAAUCGGAGACUAUGGAACUGACUGUAUCCAGAGUGCUGAUUUCCAUUGCGCAGCUCCUGGUUUUCUGCCAGAUAGUGGCCUUGACAGAGGCGUACUUCAAGGCCCAGAGAAAAUUCACAGACGACAUCGACUGGUCCUACACAGGUCAGUACAGUUACAUGAACAGUAUUCAUGCCAUGGGGUAUUCAGGUUACAAAUUACAGGGGGGGGAUAGGGGGCUGAAAUACCAAUGUGAGCGUCGGUCACCCCCAAGAAACUUCGGGCACCCUCAAGAGUCGAUGUACAGUCUUGGCCAAAAGUUUUGAGAAUGACACAAAUAUAAAUUUGUGUGUCUUUAGAUAUUUUUGUCAGAUGUUACUGUGGAAUACUGAAGUAUAAUUAUAAUUACAAGCAUUUCAUAAGUGUCAAAUGCUUUUAUUGACAAUUACAUGAAGUUGAUGCAAAUAGUCAAUAUUUGCAGUGCUGACUCUUCUUUUUCAAGAUCUCUGCAAUCCACCCUGGCAUGCUGUCAAUUAACUUCUGGGCCACAUCCUGACUGAUGGCAGCCCAUUCUUAAAUAAUCUAUGCUUGGAGUUUGUCAGAAUUUGUGGGUUUUUGUUUGUCCACCCGAUUCUUGAGGAUUGACCACAAGUUCUCUAUGGGAUUAAGGUCUGGGGAGUUUCCUGUCCAUGGACCCAAAAUAUCGAUGUUUUGUUCCCCGAGCAACUUAGUUAUCACUUUUGCCUUAUGGCAAGGUGCUCCGUCAUGCUGGAAAAGGCAUUGUUUGUCACCAAACUUUUCCUGGAUGGUUGGGAGAAGAUGCUCUCGGAGGAUGUGUUGGUACCAUUCUUUAUUCAUGGCUGUGUUCUUAGGCAAAAUUGUGAGUGAUCCCACUCCCUUGGCUGAGAAGCAACCCCACACAUGAAUGGUCUCAGGAUGCUUUACUGUUGGCAUGACACAGGACUGAUGGUAGCGCUCACCUUGUCUUCUCCGGACAAGCUUUUUUCCGGAUGCCCCAAACAAUCGGAAAGGGGAUUCCUCAGAGAAAAUGACUUUACCCCAGUCCUCAGCAGUCCAAUCCCUGUACCUUUUGCAGAAUAUCAGUCUGUCCCUGAUGUUUUUCCUGGGGAGAAGUGGCUUCUUUGCGGCCCUUCUUGACACCAGGCCAUCCUCCAAAAGUCUUCGCCUCACUGUGCGUGCAGAUGCACUCCUGUGCAGAUCCAAUUCCUGUUGCCAUUCCUGAGCAAGCUCUGUACUGGUGGUUCCCCGAUCCUGCAGCUGAAUCAACUUUAGAAGAUGGUCCUGGCGCUUGCUGGACUUUCUUGGGCGCCCUGAAGCCUUCUUCACAACAAUUGAACCGCUCUCCUUGAAGUUCUUGAUGAUCUGAUAAAUGUUUGAUUUUAGGUGCAAUCAUACUUGCGGCAAUAUCCUUGCCUAUGAAGCCCUUUUUGUGCAAAGCAAUGAUGACGGCACAUGUUUCCUUGCAGGUAACCAUGGUUGACAGAGGAAGAACAAUGAUUCCAAGCACCACCCUCCUUUUGAAGCUUCCAGUCUGUUAUUCGAACUCAAUCAGCAUGACAGAGUGAUCUCCAGCCUUGUCCUCGUCAACACUCACACCUGUGUUAACGAGAGAAUCACUGACAUGAUGUGAGCUGGUCCUUUUGUGGUAGGGCUGAAAUGCAGUGGAAUUUUUUUGUGUGGAUUCUGUUCAUUUGCAUGGCAAAGAGGGACUUUGCAAUAAAUUGCAAUUCAUCUGAUCACUCUUCAUAACAUUCUGGAGUAUAUGCAAAUUGCCAUCAUACUAACUGAGGCAGCAGACUUUGUGAAAAUUAAUAUUUGUGUCAUUCUCAAAACUUUUGGCCACGACUGUAUAAUGCAAACCCUGCAGAUUAUAUUGUUAAAAUAAUGUCAUACGCUACCUCAGCCCUGACUGGUGCACUAAUGUUAAACCUGCUCAACACAACCAGCACUGCCGGUCUUUUCUCCACAUGCUGACAGACGUAGGGGAUUAAGCUCAGAUAUCCUAAGCCCUUACCAGGAGGGAUUGCUCCAUCAGUGAGAUAGACCUGACUUGACUGGUCUAGCUUGUUCAAAUCUAACUGUGUUCUGGUUGAGGGAAAUUGACCGAGGGUGUUUCAAUUGCUCUAAGGGCCAGUCACGUUAAAAUAGUCAGUGAAACGUAUUUUCAGGCAUGAAAGGCAUUUUCUUUCAUGUACCGUUGUUUUUGUGAUUUCCAUCCAUCGUCCCAAAUUGCUUGACUUCAUUUCAUUACACUCUCUCUGUCAAUUUGUAUUCAGAUAAGAAACAAUUCUGCUUGUUUGGUAAUAGGCGUUAUACUUUACAUUUUCCACUCUGCUGCUCUCAAAGUUCAGGGCCCCGUCACAACAAGCUGGGUCCCAGAGAGACGGGAGAGAGACUGCAGGGCUCAAGUGUGUGUUGUGUGUGUGUGUGCAUGUGUGUGCCUUUAUUUAUGCUUGCAUGUAUAUGCCUUUGUUCGUGCAUGCGUGUGUGUGUGUUUGUCUGUCUGUCUGUCUGUGUGUGUGUGUGUGUGUGUGUGUGUGUGUGUGUGUGUGUGUUGUGGAGCAGACUUGUUUAUCAGCCCGUGAUAUAACAGUAGUGAGUGUGCUGUCAGUAUGAGGUACUGAGCCGUGAGGAAGAGAAUUAACAUGUGAAAGCACACACCUCAUUGUGAGGCACAGCGCACAGUAUGGAGACGAAGAAAUGGAGAGAGAGAGAGAGAGAGAGAGAGAGAGAGAGAGAGAUACAGAAAGAGAGAGAUACAGAAAGAGAGAGAGAUACAGAAAGAGGGAGAGAAAAAGACCUAUGGAGACAGAAACACGGAAAACGUGAAGAGGAAGUGAGAGAGAAAAAGGGAGAUAAACCUUCUCGGACAUUACCAUAUGGUAGCUAGCUUUUAAGCUUUAAUGCUGGUAGCCUUUACGAAAUAUGCAAUCCUCUUGGAGUAUGCAACAGCAUUUGCUCAGAAUGUUUUGGCUCAAGGUUGCACUCCCAUUAAGUGGCUCUUUACUUUUGAGAUCCAUUGGUAUGAUUUAUAUUAUACUGAACAUUCAUUAGAUUGUCAGGAUUCCCCUGAGUUGGAGUACGAAAUGUAAUUUCUCUGUAAACAUUUGAAUGUCAAACAGACAGUGUGAGCUAAUGGAUUUAUCUUGGUACAGACAGACUAUCACAAUCACAUAGGUGAUAAACUGUAUAUACAGAAUGUCAGGUUCUGUGUUCAUAUUUGUUCAUAUAUGUGUUGUUUUUCAGACUGUGUAUCCUUGCGUGCUCUGCCACUGUUUGUGUUUCAAAAGUUGAUACAGUACAAAUCCACGGUAUCCACCCGUUAACCCCUCUCCCCAGGGGGUCCCUAUGAUCCGUUAACCCCCCUUCCCCCAUUUCCCCCGUCUCCAUCUGCCAGUGUGAGUGUGUAGUCUCUAUCCUCUGAUAACUCCAGGCCCCAGUGUAGGCCACGCGAGACAGGGUCCCCAGCCACCACAGCAGCCCAUUUCCUGCAUGUGUAAACUCUCUGAUCUCCUUCUCAUGUCUACAGGGCCUGUGUGUCCCUACACUACCCUCGCUCUUUGUCUGCCUCUUUCUCCUUCUGCUGGGCUCUAACACAAUCGACAGAAUAAAUUAUCCAGCUCUCUUCUCCAUCAACAUGUAACGGAGUUGGCUUGCGUGAUGACUAACCUCGCCUGAGACCUGAAGACUUGUGUUAGCUCCCCCAAGCUAAUGCUCAGCGGGCUAACACAGGGCGGACCCAGUCUUACACAAACACACUGGCCGGCAUAAUGCACAUUCAGUACAGACUGCAGCCUCUCCAUCAGCAUCUAACAUCUCUUAACGGGCUGUUAACCACCACCUCAUUGACUUACUCCAGCUCUGCUUUCUUAGUCAUACAGGCAGUCGUUAGUUAGUGUUGUUUCUGCUCCAGUUGUCUCCAGCCGUCUUCUCCCCCUCCUGUCCUAGAGCUGCUGAGGUUGGUGGUGAGGUAAGGGCUGAGUUGCCCCCGCUCCCUUCUCCCUCUCCGGCCCAGCUAAGGUCAUAAUGCAGCAGGACUCAGAGAUCCAGGAAGAGACUUAGUCAUGCUGGAUGGUGAUGUGUUUCAGGGCAUCAUUACACUGACUGAGGACCACUAGUAGAGUUGACAGAUGGGGGGGGGG